GCUUGGUGGCUCAGUGGUAGAAUUCUCUCCUCCCAUGUGGGAGAACCAGGUUCGAUUCCUGGCCAGUGCA
rnacentral:tRNA from 1 species